rnacentral:rRNA from 1 species
GGGGGGGGGGGGGGGGGGGGGGGGGGGAGGGGGGGGGGGGGGGCGGGGGGGGAGCGGGCUUCGCUGAGGUGGGCGGCGGAGGGGGGAGUAACACGGGGAGAGCCUACCUAUGGGAAUGGGGUAUGUUCGGGAACCCGGAGCUCAUCAGGGGUGAUAUGUGGAACCGCGGUGGUCAGACGUGAAAGACGGUCGUGCUGGCACUUGUCGAUUGUUCCGCGCUGCUUUAGCUAGUGGGUAAGGUAACGGCUUACCACGGCAACGAUGCAUAGCAGACCUGAGAGGGUGAUCGGCCACACUGGAACUGAGGCACGGUCCAGAAUCCUACGGGAGGCAGCAGUAGGGAAUCUUCCGCAAUGGGCGAAAGCCUGACGGAGCAACGCCGCGUGAGUGAUGAAGGUCUUCGGAUCGUAAAACUCUGGUAUUAGGGAAGAACAGAUGUGUAAGUAACUGUGCACAUCUUGACGGUACCUAAUCAGAAAGCCACGGCUAACUACGUG